AUGGGCUCAAAGUGGACAAAUGUGAAUGUGAAUCAUUGCAGUCAAAAUGAGCUGACCAACUGUGGUGAUGCUAAGGGAGCAAGUGCUUCUGGAGAGUGCCAGAGGACAGCCAGAUCUUACAUCAGAAAUGCAGCACAGCUGGGGACAACAUCCUUCUCUUGAACCACGAUGUCCUCACUGCUCUGGGGAGCCACAAUGAACCCAAGUGCCACCAACAUCUUCACUGGCUUCAGCAAAAUUCCAGUCAGUGCCAAACUACGAGACCUGAAGUCCUAAUCUUGCUUUCAUCCCCAUCCCCCAUAUUUCCCCCCCUAUUUCCCAGUGUAUUGUAUAUUUCUUCCCUUUUCUCCCUCUCAUUUUCCUUUUUAUUUACCAAUUGUUGGGCAG
rnacentral:lncRNA from 12 species